rnacentral:snoRNA from 1 species
CUGCUGAUGACGACAAAAUCAUCCUUGCUCUGCGAGCUGUGUUCGGAAUCCUACAAAGGCGUGUCGUCGUCGGGACGCUCUGCUCGAGUGGGAGAGAACGACACAGCGGUGAACAGCGUUGGCCUCUGAAGCAG